rnacentral:snRNA from 1 species
GUAGUACUUACCAUGAUCAAGAAGGCGGUUCACCCAGGGCUUGUCCAUUGCACUCUGGCCAUACUGACCCCUGUGAAUUCCCCAAAUGUGAGAAUCUCGAC